UGUCUCAUCUCUUUCCAAUAGUUGUUUCACAUUGCUCAACAGUAUUGGUUAUCUUUCUGUGCUUUUUCAAGUAUUUUUGAAACCCAUGCCGAAUGUUGAAACUAGUUUUGAAUCCUGAAUUGGAUAUUUUCCAUGAUUUUCAGCCUUUCUUUCCCAUUUUGUAUAUUUAAAUUUGUUCAUUUUCAUUUAAACAGAUUGGCCCUAAUGUUUCAAUCUCAGCAAAUGUUCGUAUAGCAGCAGGUGUAAGGCUUAUAAGUUGCAUCAUCUUAGAUGAUGUUUAAAUAAAGGAAAAUGCAGUAGUUAUGCAUGCUAUUGUUGGAAGGAAAUCAUCUAUUGGGAAAUGGUCACGUGCCCAGGAGACUACAAUGCCAAGCUUGGAAUCACCAUCCUUGGAGAAGCUGUGACAGUUGAAGAUAAAGUCGUGGUGACUAAAAGCAUCGUGCUCCCAAACAAGACCCUUAAUGUUAGUGUACAGGAGGAUAUCAUUCUGUGAGGACAAGGAACCAAGAUCCGGCUGGAAUUCAAUGCAGUGUUUAGUUGUGAUUCUUCAAUUUUUUUUUUAAUGUCAGAGUAAUUAUAGAUUUUUAUGUCAAAAGAGCACUUAUUGAUAGAUACAACAGUAAAUUGUGUUACUGAAGUAGAGUUUCAGUAGGGAACAAUUUUUGCCACAACA